UGGGGAAUUUUGGACAAUGGGCGAAAGCCUGAUCCAGCAAUGCCGCGUGCAGGAUGAAGGCCCUCGGGUUGUAAACUGCUUUUGUACGGAACGAAAAGCCUGGGGCUAAUAUCCCCGGGUCAUGACGGUACCGUAAGAAUAAGCACCGGCUAACUACGUGCCAGCAGCCGCGGUAAUACGUAGGGUGCAAGCGUUAAUCGGAAUUACUGGGCGUAAAGCGUGCGCAGGCGGUUUUGUAAGACAGUGGUGAAAUCCCCGGGCUCAACCUGGGAACUGCCAUUGUGACUGCAAAGCUAGAGUGCGGCAGAGGGGGAUGGAAUUCCGCGUGUAGCAGUGAAAUGCGUAGAUAUGCGGAGGAACACCGAUGGCGAAGGCAAUCCCCUGGGCCUGCACUGACGCUCAUGCACGAAAGCGUGGGGAGCAAACAGG
rnacentral:rRNA from 1 species